rnacentral:lncRNA from 1 species
CUCCAGCACUGCGUAAACCCAUUCGGAGCACGCCGAACGCGGACGCGUUAGGGCUGAGCGCCGAGUGGCGGCCUCGGCCGGGUCUCCCUGCCUCUCCAGGUCUGGACAGCGCGGCCGCUCUCGUCACUGCGGCGACCGCCAGGCCCACGGACGCGCGCCCGCCGCCGCCGCCGCCGCCUCCAUGCUGCAACGCUGGGUGCAGCUCUUCGGGGUCCGGCGGCCGCCGUUGCUUGCACGCAUCGCCGCGGUGUGCCCGGCUCCGCGCUCCGCGCGGGUUGUGACCGCUGCCCUGGAACUCAGCUGCCAGCCCGGCUCCUGAGCCGCCGAGUCGCCUGGGAGCCAGGACAACAGGCGGGGCGCUCGAUGCAGCGACGCGCGGGGCGGGGGGCGCGCGACGAGCGUGUGCAGAGAGGCCCGAACCGAGGACUGUGGAAGCAAAUGUGUUAA